UCGGCACUUCAUGAUGUAGAAGCAGUGGCAGAAUGUUGUAUAUUAUUACCAAAAUCAACACACUCUAUUUGCUCGGAAUUUACAAUAAUUUUGAAAAGAUAAUAUUAAUAUAAAACGGUGAUUUACUUCCAGUCUUACCAACCUUCGAAAAUUGUUUUUGUGUUUUGAAAAAUGAAAUCUUUAAAUUUAUCUGCUUGGUUUCAGGAUCUUAUUUUCUACUAUUACGGAUGUCUGGAGCUUUUGAACAAAAACUUUUCCUCAUGAAAUCAAGUGUUA